UUUAUUGAGAGUUUGAUCCUGGCUCAGGACGAACGCUGGCGGUAUGCUUAACACAUGCAAGUCGAACGAGACGAGAUGGAAUGACCCUUCGGGGGAAUGAAAUCUC
rfam:Acetobacterium wieringae strain DSM 1911 ACWI_contig000017, whole genome shotgun sequence.